rnacentral:rRNA from 13 species
GUAAACGAGGAAUUCCUAGUAAACGCACAUCAUCAAUCUGCAUUGAUUAC